rnacentral:rRNA from 1 species
UACAGAGGUCUCAAGCGUUGUCCGGAAUCAUUGGGCGUAAAGGGCGCGUAGGUGGCCCGGUCAGUUCGUGGUGAAAGCGCGGGGCUCAACCCUGCGUCGGCCAUGAAUACUGCCGCGGCUGGAGCACUGUAGAGGCAGGCGGAAUUCCGGGUGUAGCGGUGGAAUGCGUAGAGAUCGGGAAGAACAUCAGUGGCGAAGGCGGUCUGCUGGGCCGUUGCUGACGCUGAGGCGCGACAGCGUGGGGAGCAAACAGG